UGUCCCUGUCAUGCCUCCGUGAUUGAGUA
rnacentral:piRNA from 1 species